UAUGUAGGUGACAAGCGUUGUCCGGCUUUACUGGGCCUAAGGCGAGCGCAGGCGGUCUUUUAAGUCUGAUGUGAAAGCCCACGGCUCAACCGUGGAUGGUCAUUGGAAACUGGACGACUUGAAUGCAGAAGAGGAAAGUGGAAUUCCAUGUGUAGCGGUGAAAUGCGUAGAUAUAUGGAGGAACACCAGUGGCGAAGGCGACUUUCUGGUCUGUAAUUGACGCUGAGGCCCGAAAGCGUGGGGAGCGAACAGG
rnacentral:misc_RNA from 1 species